rnacentral:rRNA from 1 species
UACGUGGGCGGCGUGCUAAUACAUGCAAGUCGAGCGAACUGAUUAGAAGCUUGCUUCUAUGACGUUAGCGGCGGACGGGUGAGUAACACGUGGGCAACCUGCCUGUAAGACUGGGAUAACUCCGGGAAACCGGAGCUAAUACCGGAUAACAUUUUUUCUUGCAUAAGAGAAAAUUGAAAGAUGGUUUCGGCUAUCACUUACAGAUGGGCCCGCGGUGCAUUAGCUAGUUGGUGAGGUAACGGCUCACCAAGGCAACGAUGCAUAGCCGACCUGAGAGGGUGAUCGGCCACACUGGGACUGAGACACGGCCCAGACUCCUACGGGAGGCAGCAGUAGGGAAUCUUCCGCAAUGGACGAAAGUCUGACGGAGCAACGCCGCGUGAGUGAUGAAGGCUUUCGGGUCGUAAAACUCUGUUGUUAGGGAAGAACAAGUACAAGAGUAACUGCUUGUACCUUGACGGUACCUAACCAGAAAGCCACGGCUAACUACGUGCCAGCAGCCGCGGUAAU